rnacentral:tRNA from 1 species
UCCCUUGUGGCUCAGAUGGUAAAGUGUCUGCAAUGCAGGAGACCCAGGUUCGAUUCCUGGAUCGGGAA